rnacentral:lncRNA from 1 species
AAGAAAAUGGAUUUUUAAAAAAAUGCAAACUCCCAAGCCCUAUUACCCCUAACCGGACAAAUGAGGUUUCUUUGGGCUCGAGGCUGUGCCAUAUAAAGUCUUGUUUGGGAAUGCUACAAACUUAUCAUAACUACCUUAUGGAUAGUGGGCUGAGACAAUCCUGAAUGGAGAAUUUUCACACACCCCUUUAAAGAGGCAACUCCCAAAUUUACAAGGGAAUAGAUUCUGGUAUCUCAGCCUCUCAGCCCUUCCUGUUGAUGACAUAAGCCCUUGGAAGAAAAGAGAACACACCCUCCUUGGUUCCUUCUGAAUGUUUUUCUUUGGCUUCUCUUCUGCCAGUUCUGAGGCAAAGACACGACAAAACACCUGUACCUGAAAAGCAAAAGAAAUGUGUCAAGUCCCCUUCGCCCAGGAAAACAUCAAGCUUUGGCAGCUGUUCUCCAGUUGCACGGAGGAACGUGCGUCUCAAGACACCAGCUCUGCAGAGCCCUUGCUCCCAAACUCCUUGUGGUUUUAUUUAUACGUAUUUCCAUAUUUCAUUCCUGUACGUCACUGCUGCAUCCAUGUGGCAGCACGUGACCAAAUGGUACAGGUUUUACUAUGGACGCCAGGUCAGGCGCCACCACGCAGAACAAAGCCAGUUCCGUAAGCUGCCUCCGAUAAGCAUUGCUGAAGUGACAUUUUACCCAGGGUGUGCCAUUGCAGUGAUACAAAUAUAUUUUUUUCCUAGACUAAAAUAUGACCUGAAUAUCUCUUUUGAUGUGUGUAAAUAGGUGUGAGUGAGUGAGUAUGUGUGUGUGUGUUUGUGUGUGUGUGUGUGUGUGUGUGUGCUUGCAUACGUGUGUGCGUGCGUGACCUCAUGCUUAGAACUGCCUGUGAAUGUUGUGGAAUGCUAUACCUGGAGAGUUCUGGUUUAUUACCAGUUCAAAGAUAGAGAGUCACAUGAUAUACGAGACCCGGAGACCAUGUCCGUCCCCUUGGGAAGACAGCUUGGAAAUACUACGUGUUCUUUAUCCGUAAGUGUAAUGUGUCUGUCACAUUCAUCCUAAGAAGCAGUUCUUUGGACAGUUUUCACCCCGAUGGUGGAAUGAGUUUCUUGAUAUACACCUGACUGGCCAGUUCCACAAUGGAGAGAGAAGGGGAUGGAAUCCGUAUAGUGACCCCGGAUGGAGUAUAAGUCGCCUUUGUUUCCCUGCAUAAAUGACCUUGCUGAAUGCGAACAAAUAUAUGCAAUUCAUAUACUUUUUGGAGAUGAACUUAGAUAUGCGUGUCAGCCUUGAGAUGACGUGUCUGGAGUAAUACUUUGUGUCCCAGUGUCACAGAAAAAUACAUCCAUGCCAGUGGCUCUUGAGGUUAAUAAUGUAGUUGGGAUGGAAUGGCCUCUAGCAAAUCCAGGUUCCCCAAUUACAUGUAGAAAGUUCUGGUAAUUAAUAUGCAGCUAACUACUUCUGCCCUUGAAAGUACAUCGGUCUUCUAGAAUCAGAGUUCUGGUGUAUGAAGAUUCAGUAUUGACAGGAUAUGUUAUACCAAACUCCAGCCAGCAUACUGCCAUGUUACUUAACCUGAGUGGCUGCCUUGCUUAUUCCGAGCGAUGGUUACAGAAGCUGUGACCAUUUAUAUAAGCUAUAACAUCAAAUCAGGGAAUUAAAAAAAAAAAAAAAACGGGGGAAAAAUUCUGAACCAUAUAUUGUUGAAUAAGUAAAGAAAAUCACCAAUAAAUAUUUAUUGCAUUCUGACAGGGUGUGUGUGGCAUUGUAUUCUCGUAACUAUGCCAGAGUGACAAAGCUAAUUCACCCCUUUUGGGGGGACCUUAAUAUAUUUUUAAAGGGAUGUGCCUAUGCAUUGAUGCCUGAAAAAUAUGUGUAAAAAAAAAGAUGAAGUUGUACCUUUGAGUGGAUCAUCUUUCCCAAAGGUCAGGUGGGAGGAGGUCAACUUCCGGGUCUGUGUUCAGCUCAGGAUCGAGCGCUGGUCUCGUGAGCUGGAAGGCUAAAAUCUGUUCAAAUCUACUAAGCAGCUUCGAGCUGUUCCCUGCACCAAAUCAAGUUGUUUCACCACGUGUCUGCAGGCUCUGAGUUAUUUUUGGCAAUCUGAUAAAUGAAAUGUUCUGGUGUGUUUAAAAGAAUAGAGGAAAGGUUGUGUUCGCAACCUCAUUUCUGUGUGUUCUGAGACCUCUUGUAUUCAUCUGUGAAGGGUACGUGUAUCAAUCCAUACACUCCUAUAGCCUCAAUGACUUGUCUGAAGACACUUAAAUUUUGACCAGUAAAGGAAAGUUCUAGAAGCAAUAUUUUCACUCCUUUAGCAUUGUCCAAAUAACAUCAAGUAUUAAUAAACGCUGAAGAGUGUAUUUAUUUUGUAUUACUCCAAGUCUGUUGGAAUAUGCAAGGACUGUGGUUAUAAUUAGAAUGUAUAAGGCAUAAUUAUAAUUUAGUUCAUUCUGAAAAAGAAGUUAGCCGGACAUCUCUUGUUUCAUACAUGUUCCAAAUUUUGAGCAAUCUUUUGAGUUAGCCAUAGAUUUUUUUCUAUUUUGUUCUUAUUUGUCAAGGUAUUUUUUUCUUCCCUUCAUGAACUUUAGGUACACAUAACUUAUGUCAUUUAUUUAUGGUCUUUUAUACCUAGUUUGUAAAGUUGUAAAAUAGCAAACUAAAUGCAAAGAGUUUGCAUUUGAAAGUAAUAAAGUAGUUGCUGUAUUCAAACCUGAAA